AGCGAACGCUGGCGGCAGGCCUAACACAUGCAAGUCGAACGAACCUUUCGGGGUUAGUGGCGGACGGGUGAGUAACACGUGGGAACGUGCCUUUAGGUUCGGAAUAACUCAGGGAAACUUGUGCUAAUACCGAAUGUGCCCUUCGGGGGAAAGAUUAAUCGCCUUUAGAGCGGCCCGCGUCUGAUUAGCUAGUUGGUUGAGGUAAUGGCUCACCAAGGCGACGAUCAGUAGCUGGUCUGAGAGGAUGAUCAGCCACAUUGGGACUGAGACACGGCCCAAAAUCCUACGGGAGGCAGCAGUAGGGAAUCUUGCGGAAUGGGCGAAAGCCUGACGCCGCCAUGCCGCGUGAAUGAUGAAGGUCUUAGGAUUGUAAAAUUCUUUCACCGGGGACGAUAAUGACGGUACCCGGAGAAGAAGCCCCGGCUAACUUCGUG
rnacentral:rRNA from 1 species